GUGGCCUCUUCCGCUCUUCCUGUGCAGCUUUCUUCACAUAAUAUUCCAUCAUUGCUAUAGGAUCCGACGAUGGAGGCCCACUGGACUCACCUUGUCCUGGGGUUCUCCCUGAUAAUGCAUUACCCUCAUCAGCCCAAUACAAAGCUGAAGCAGGAGUUUGGUAAUUACCGUCUUGUAGAGUACUGUUUUGAGAGCUGCUAGCCAAUCUAGG
rnacentral:misc_RNA from 1 species